AUUGAACGCUGGCGGCAGGCCUAACACAUGCAAGUCGAACGGUAACAGGAAGAAGCUUGCUUCUUUGCUGACGAGUGGCGGACGGGUGAGUAAUGUCUGGGAAACUGCCUGAUGGAGGGGGAUAACUACUGGAAACGGUAGCUAAUACCGCAUAACGUCGCAAGACCAAAAAGGGGGACCUUCGGGCCUCUUGCCAUCGGAUGUGCCCAGAUGGGAUUAGCUAGUAGGUGGGGUAACGGCUCACCUAGGCGACGAUCCCUAGCUGGUCUGAUAGGAUGACCAGCCACACUGGAACUGAGACACGGUCCAGACUCCUACGGGAGGCAGCAGUGGGGAAUAUUGCACAAUGGGCGCAAGCCUGAUGCAGCCAUGCCGCGUGUAUGAAGAAGGCCUUCGGGUUGUAAAGUACUUUCAGCGGGGAGGAAGGGAGUAAAGUUAAUACCUUUGCUCAUUGACGUUACCCGCAGAAGAAGCACCGGCUAACUCCGUG
rnacentral:rRNA from 1 species